UACGAAGGGGGCUAGCGUUGCUCGGAAUCACUGGGCGUAAAGGGUGCGUAGGCGGGUCUUUAAGUCAGGGGUGAAAUCCUGGAGCUCAACUCCAGAACUGCCUUUGAUACUGAAGAUCUUGAGUUCGGGAGAGGUGAGUGGAACUGCGAGUGUAGAGGUGAAAUUCGUAGAUAUUCGCAAGAACACCAGUGGCGAAGGCGGCUCACUGGCCCGGUACUGACGCUGACGGUGCGAAAGCGUGGGGAG
rnacentral:rRNA from 1 species